rnacentral:rRNA from 1 species
GUGGGGAAUAUUGGGCAAUGGGGGCAACCCUGACCCAGCGACGCCGCGUGAGGGAAGACGGCCUUCGGGUUGUAAACCUCUUUUGUACGGGAAGAAGGAUGUGACGGUACCGUGCGAAUAAGUCCCGGCUAACUACGUGCCAGCAGCCGCGGUAAUACGUAGGGGACGAGCGUUGUCCGGAAUUACUGGGCGUAAAGGGCGCGCAGGCUGUAGAUCAAGUCAGCUGUGAAAUGUCUGGGCUUAACCCGGGCAUGCGGUUGAAACUGAUGUACUGGAGUGCUGUAGAGGCAAGUGGAAUUCCCAGUGUAGCGGUGAAAUGCGUAGAUAUUGGGAAGAACACCGGUGGCGAAGGCGACUUGCUGGGCAGCAACUGACGCUGAGGCGCGAAAGCCAGGGGAGCAAACGGGAUUAGAAACCCGGGUAGUCC